rnacentral:rRNA from 1 species
GAGGAAGUAAAAGUCGUAACAAGGUUUCCGUAGGUGAACCUGCGGAAGGAUCAUUAACGAGUAAACARGGGAGUUGUAGCUGGCCGCAAGGCAUGUGCACGCUCUCUACUCAAUCCAACCUUACACCUGUGCACCUAUUGUAGGUCGAGUGGCUGGACUUGUUCUGGCSGCUCUUCCUAUGUUUUACACAUACACUUGUAGUCUCAGAAUGUAAUCCGCGUAUAACGCAUUAUAAAACAACUUUCAACAACGGAUCUCUUGGCUCUCGCAUCGAUGAAGAACGCAGCGAAAUGCGAUAAGUAAUGUGAAUUGCAGAAUUCAGUGAAUCAUCGAAUCUUUGAACGCACCUUGCGCUCCUUGGUAUUCCGAGGAGCAUGCCUGUUUGAGUGUCAUGAAUAUCUCAACUCAUCCGGUUUUUAUUAACUGUGGUGGGCUUGGACUUGGAGGUAUGCUGGCUGACUAGUCGGCUCCUCUCUAAAUGUAUUAGCUGGACCUGUUACGGAUCAGUACUCGGUGUGAUAAUUGUCUACGCCGUGUCUGUGAAGUGCUUGAAUGGACUAGCUUCUAACCGUCUUCGGACAACUACUGACAUUUUGACCUC